CCCAUUAUUGCUCUCAGAAGCAAAGCCCUACAUUUACCUCCUUUAGCAGUAAACUUGAAGAAAUGAUUCCAAAUCUCAGACGUCUCUCUGCCAGUAUUUCCAUAUUUAGAAGGUACUGGACGAGUUGUUCGUUUUUGCUUUUUAGGAGGAGUGCGUCGAUGAGGAGCGUCUUGACCUUGUAGUUGAGCUACUGCUGGCAUAGUCAGAGGGUUGUUUACAAUCACCUCCACAUCUGGUCCAGAAGUUAUAGUUUCCAUCCGAAAAAAGGUAUCAUGUACAUGCAAAUAAAAUUGUAAUCUCAGAACAAUUUUUAUGAGCUUUCUGAUAUAAAACUAAGUAAAAGAGCACAACUAAGUGAAAGAGAGCCACUUUCAAAGCAAAAUAUUAUAUUUCUGAAAUUUUCUUUCAUCCCCAGAACCAGAAAAAGUCGCAAAAUUCCCCAAAAAAUGAGUAAAAACUAGAGUGUGUAAUUGGUUCUGAAGAUAAUAAGUUCAAAAAAUUAAUACUAAAAAAUAUUUAGAAGAAAAGAUUAUGAUAUAGGGUAAAACUUAGACAUAGAACAAACCUUAGAGUAGAAAAUGAGCAAUAAAUGAAAUAAGUUAGGGGUCUUUGAUUUAGGGGGAAAGUAUUAUACUUUUGGCGGUAAAGUCGAUGCCUUAUGAGUUAUGAAGUGGUCUUUUUUCUUUUACAUUUGUUAACUUUUGUUAUUCCUUUUGGGCUUUAUUUGGCUUGCUAGACGUAUAUAGAGUGGGCUAAAAUUGUAAGCCCAAAUAUAAUGUUAAUAAUAAUAAAUAAUGAUAAAUUAAAAGAAAUAUAUAUAAAUUGUAUUAUAGUAAAUAUUUAUUUUGUAUAAAAUAAAUUUAAAAACUACAUACAUAAAUAUCAGACUGGUUUGGUCUCGGGUUGACUUAUUUUAGUUAAUGUCAAACCAAACCUAUUAUAGUCGGGUUAUUUUUUUUACAUACCAAACCACUUGUCGGGUUUUGUUUCCGGUUUGACUCGGUUUGGUGCGGUUUAUCGGUUUGCUUUGUACACCCCUACACAUGGCUAUUUAACUCGGUCUAAAAAACCACUAAACUAUAAUUUUUUUGUUAGUUACUUUGUUAAACUAUCUGGUAUCCCCAAUACCCCCCUGAACUAUAUUGUCCUAUAUAUUAAAAUUCCAUAUUAAAUUCUUAGAGGUGCGUCUAACUAUAUUAUCUUAUGUUUUGUACUAGUUUUUUUGUUUUUUUUUUGUAGUUUAUUCAGGAUGUAGUACUCUCGGAUGACUGAUUAAUUCUAAGAAUGUAACGAGGGGGGUUUAAAUAUGAAGGACAAUAUAGUUCAGAAGAAUUUUGAGGACACUGAAUAGUUUAAGUAGGGAACUCACAAAAACGUGAUAAUUUAAGGAGGUUUUAGGGUAUUAACUCUUUUUGAAAAGUACUUUUGAGAAAAAUACAUAUACAAGGACUUUUUAAAAGUUUGGGCAUACACUAAUUCCUGCUCUGAAGUAUUUUUUUAAUUUGAUUAGCCAAACACAAACUGUUUCUCACCAAAAAUAUUUUUGAAAAAAAUACUUUUGAGAAAAAAUACUUCUCAAAAUAGGCUGAUUUUAUCUCUUCCUAAGAUAAGUACAAAAUUAGAGUGACAAAUGAGAUAAAAAAAAGUAACAAAAAAAGAAGAAAAGGCUAAUACUAUGAUCUUAAAGAGGUGUCACAUCACGUCUUAGAAGAAAAUUAUAUAUUUGACUAUAGGGAAAAUAGCAGUUUUAGUAUUGAAAUGUUUGCACGAGCGAGUUCUUGGCUCUUUUUGCUUUGUACAUAACUGGGUUCAUAAUUGCGAUGCACCCUUGACCAAGAAUAAGGAGGAACUAUUCUUGAAAGGGUAUAAAUUCCUUUUAUUUAACUUGGCAAUAUAUCAGUUUUCGCUAAUACACGAGUGACUUCUUUACCGACUUCCACUGGACAUGGCAUAGUAAUAAGAACAUUUUUUAAAUAAAGAUUAGCUUACUAGCAGUGCAGCUUAAGUGAUUUUAUUGGCAAUGUUACUGUAAAAUUGGCUUUCUUUCUUUCAAUACUAGGUGCACCAUAUGGGGUAGAUCUGUGUUCUUCAGUUCCUGUUUUUUAACUCUUAUGUUUGCUUAACUGUUUUGUUUGCCAAGAUUUCAUGUCUUCUGCGUUAGCGACAUGCAGAUGCAAAUGGGGUUUAAACUCUAACUAGUAUAUUGAAGUAGUUAAGAAAAGAAUCAAAAGUUAACAAUGUUAACUUCAAGUUAGGUUAAAGGACAAAAAUUGCACACUUUAUCCAAUUAAACAUUAAAUGUGCUUGGUCCACUAAUACAAGGACUAAAAUCAGGCUUAGGCAACAACCUAAAGACUAAAACUGCUAUCUUCCCUUGAAUAUAUAGAUAGGUAAAUAAGGUGUAGUAACAAACAUCUACCUGUAAAUUACUCUUUGGAUGGUAUGGUGUCGUCGAACAUAUGUGGAGUACUAUCAUUUUUGGAUCGUUAUUUAUUCUCAUCAUGUUGGGAAAUCCAAUUAAAGAGAUGUUGUUUAACAGGAUUAUUGUUGUAACUCGACAAACUAAACUUAACAAAUUCAAAUCAAUCAACUGCAUGAUGCAAAAUGAAUAAGGGUUAGUUAUAUGAAAUUAUGAACCAUAUAGAAGGUGUGUUGGCUAAGCUUAUAAGUUGGUCAAAUUAGUUUAUAAGCACCUUUUGGCUUAUUUACGUUUUUGGUAAAUACCCAAAGUGAAAUUAGACAUAAGUCAUAAGUUGGUUACCCUCAACUUAUGAUUUUUUAACUUAUAAGCACGUUUAGUUUGACCAAGGUUUUUACUCGUUUAUCCUUAAUAAUACUUUAAAAUUCACAAAAUAUUUUUUUCAAAAUAAAUUUUCUAACUUUCUUUUCAUUCCAUAUUCAUUGUUCAUCUUUUUCUUUACAAGAAAACUUUUUAAUUUAUAAUCUUUUGUAAAGUUUUUAAGGAUAUUUUAGUCAUUUUAAUAAAAGAAUAAAUUAUCAACAAACUGUCACGCCCCAAAAAGACUAGCGCAACCGGCACCCAAUGCCUACAACUUACACCGAGCUAACCACUUGAACAUAUCUACCCAUUCAUGAUUAUUCCAAGAUUUGAAGAUCAUUUAAACAUUUAAAAUACCGCCUUGAAUUAUUUAAUUAAAUGUCUUUUUAAAAAAAAUCUAAGUAGGCCUUUGGCCAAGAUACAUAGGUGCGGAAUAAACACGCGAGUUUUAAAAAAAGUAUAAAUAUCAUCCACAUGACUAGACUUCCCCACAGUGUCACUGGAACCUUUAUAGAAUAACUGAACAUAAUAAAAUCUCUAGACAUAGACCCACUGACAAAAUAAGCGGGGCUUACCAAGUAAAGCAGAGAAUGGAGAAAACGCCUAGCAUGUGCUGUCAACUCUAACGUCACAAUAUUUAAAACAUCAAAUAAGUUGCCCCACAUGGGAGGCUGAGCACAAUUUCAUAAAAAUCGUACCCCAUAAGUAUCAUUGACUCCUUCCGAUAAGGUUGGAACGAUACUUUAGGGAUAAGUAAAAUACAUGAAAUAUAAUAAGUAUGACUUUUCACAAAAUCAAUAAUGAAAAGAAAUAUUUAAUAAAAUGUCACUCUUUCAAUAGGUUGUAAACCUUUGAAUAGAAUGUAGAUCAUUCAAUAGGCUAUAAUUCUUUCAACGGGUUGUAAUCUUUCAAUAGGAUGUAAAUCUUUUAAUAUGAUGUAAUCUUCCAAUAGGAUGUAAAUCUCUCAAUAGAGUUCCAAUAGUUAUAACUAUAACAAUAAUCGAUAUCUGUAUGUUGACCAUCCCCCGAUCAACUUGGGCAUCUCACCCGAAGGAUAUUGACGAUAGUAACCAUCGCCUGGUCACGAGACCGCCUCUCCCAUUGCUAUGGGCUUUUGAUGAUAGUAACCAUCGCCCGGUCACGAGGCCGUCUCACCCAUAGCUAUGGAAUUUUGACGAUAGUAACCAUCGCCUGGUCACGAGGCCGUCUCACCCAUUGCUAUGGGAUUUUGACGAUAGUGCUAGCACAGUAAGGUGUCUCAUUGGACAAUAUAUAUUAAACACUAAAAUGUGUAGUCUAUAGGCAAUAAUAACUAUGGUCCUCCCAAACAAUAUUUUCUUUAAAUUGUAUAACCCAUAGGUCCUAUAAACAUUUUCGAUAAUUGGCUCUCAUGGUCCAUAGCUCAAUUCUAUACUUUGUUAAAGUUUCUUUGACUUUGACAAAACGGUUUUUUUUUUUAAAAAACAUCUCGAUAAGCUGUAAAAUCACAAGAUAAUGAGUUUCAAUAUUUGCGAUAACUAUUUGAUUUAGAUCAAGUAGAAAAAAUAUGGUUAAAAGUGAUAUCAUUCAAUAAAAGUCAAUAAAGGACCAACAAUACAAUUUAUGCAUAUACGAUACUAUAAGAUAGCAUAAGACGUCUCAUAAUGUUAAAGCAUGAAUGGUAAGCUUCGAUCGCUCCAACGAACCCAAACCAACAUUUAAAAUAACUUUAGCGAAUGUUAGAAUUCAUGGAAUUCAUCAAAUAAUUCUUAAGGGAAGGUACAUCUUAACUUACCUCGUCUUUGCCUUCCAAAUAAGUCCAACAAGCUCAACAUGCGCAAGUUUUAUCAAUCUAUAAUAUUGAUAUCGGAUUCCGUCAAUUAGUAUUAAAACAAUUUCAUCAUAACUCAUUUAGGGGUCGCAAUAGGCUCAAGGCCAUCCAAUUCCCAUGAUUCUGAUUACCGCCAUAAUAGAGUUCUUUUUAUCACCCACACGAGGUAUUUAUAACCAAUAAGCCAAAUUACUCCCUAGCCCUAGGUACUAUUCAUCAUCUCUUUCACAAGACCCACUUUUAGGGUUUCUUGGUUACCAUGUUUACAUCAUUAAUUCCACUUUAAGACAUACUCCACAAUCAUAUUUGAGAACUUUAACUUAAAUCGGUGUAGUAAAAUUACAUCUCUUGUGUAACUCUAGAAAUUCUCUCUUUAAAGUGCGUGAUAAGAUUUCUUGAGAUUAUCUAUUGCGUUCCUUUGAGACUAGGAGCAGCUUAUUCUUCAGCUUGUUCUUUACCGCAAAAUGCUUACUCUCGUUGCCAAAAGAGAUGGAGAGGCAACCAGUGUUGCUGCCUUUUCAUCAGUCAAAGAAAUGACCAAGACAAUACCCGUAUUAUAAUCAAGUAAGGCGAUUAGCAUGUCUAUCUUAACCGUGAAUCUAUUUCCCGAUUUCCGGGUUCAAGAACUCUAUUCAAUCCUAUGUGUAAUCUAGAAUUUUUACUUUCGAGUUCAACUCCAGAUUCGUAGAUAGUAUUCAAUUGGUGAUCGAGCAAUCAAAUAAUUAAGUGCAUGACUGAAUAAAUAGAGUAAUAUGAUAAAUCAAGAAAUCAAAAUCAAUAUUCGAAUAAAAAUAGUCAUGAAAGAACCACAAUCCUAGAACAUUUAUUUUAGCUCCACAUAGACAGCCAAACAACAAAUCAUACGGAGAAACAUAAAAAUUAUUAAGUUUGGUGGAAGAAAAAAUUAAACUAGGCCUCCACGGCAGCUUUGUGCUUUCCCUUCAUCAAAUGUUGUGAUCACCAAAUCCAAAACCAAAAAGAGACAAAAUAGCUUUAAAAUCCGGACACGCAUGUCACCACACGAAACACGCGAAGUAGCCCGCACUGGAUCUCGGUCGCGAGGCCUAACACGAGGAAUGAGUCUCGCGUUGCCUGGAAUUUUGAUUUGCUGCCAAACGUUUGCCUAACUUUUCCAUUUCUUUUCUCUUCUUUUUCAAUUGUUCAUUUGCAACGACCCGAUGUCAUUUGAGCUUUAGUGUUUCGUUCCGUUGUUUGAGACUUUGAGUAAUUUCAUAUGAUAUAUUAUGACUUGCGUGUAUAGCCGGUUUUAGUUUUCGAGUGGUUCGGGAUUGAUUUGGAAGAUUGACUCUCGAUUUGGAAGCUUUAUGUUGGAAGAGUUGACCAAGGUUUGACUUUUGGGUCAACGGACUCGGAAUCAAGUUUUUAUGGUUGCGAUAGAUUCGUAUGAUGAUUUUGGACUUGUACGUAUGUUUGGAUUAGAUUUUGGAGGUUCCUAGAAGGUUUUGAUACUAUUUGUCGUAAGUUGGCAUUUUGAAGAACUUAAGAGUUUAAAAGUUUGACCAAGAGUUGACUUUGAUGUUAUUGGACACCAAUUGGUGUUCCGAGACUUUGGAUAGGUCUAUAUAGUUGAAUUAAACUUGUGUACAAAAUUUAGAAGUAAUUCGAAGUGUUUAAGUGUGAUUCUGACACUCUUUUAAAAGAAUGAAGAUUUAACAACUUAAGACAAAUUCUAUUCGGUUUGAGCCUCACUUCUUUGUUGAGAUGUUUCCGUGGGUGUUUUGAGUCUUAGGAUAAGUUUGGAUAGUGUAUUUGUAAUUUUUGGUAUAGGUCUCGAGGGGCUCGAGUAUGUUUUUGAUCAUUGGUUGAGAAAUUAGUUAAUUUAAGAAUUUGGAGUUUGACCAUGGUCAAUAUCGGGUCAAGAUGAUCUCUUUUCGGUGUUUUGAGUGUGCUAGAAGGUUCGUAAUAUGUUUUAUGAUUGAAAUGCAUAUUUGGUUUGUGUCCGGGAGGUUCCGAAUGAAUUUUGGGUGCUAAAACGAAGAUUCUUUUGUUGCUGCUUUUCUGGUGUAAAAUAUUUACGACAAUGUCAUUUUUGUCCCUUAAAUUUUAAGAUUUUUUUAAAACUUCAAAACACCAUAUCUCUCUCAUUGUAAGGCCAAAUUGGGUAAUUCAAAAAGCUAUCUUGGGUGUAAUCUCGCAAGGAUUAUGUUGGGAUUAUUAAAUAUAAGUUUUAGGGUCAUCUAGUAUGUGAUUCGAGCUAUAACAACUGCUGCAUUAUUCUGCUUGUUCCGAAAUUUAGUCACUUUUUCUCACAAGACUUUGGAGUUCGGAUUUGGGCGGUUUUGGAGGAAAUUUUCACAAUUUGAAUUGGUUAAGUAUUUUUGACUUGAAUUUAUUUAUAUUUUAUUAUUCUAACCUUGAAUUUUGCGAUUGUUUGAUGAAUCAAAUUGAUGAAAUUGAGAAUUUUAGUAAAAAUAUUUCUAAAACAUAAAUUGAUGAUUUGAAAGCCGAUUUGAGGUCGGAAAUGGAUGAAAUUAGUAUGGUUGAACUCGUAUCCAAGUGGGUUAUCAAAAUUUGUCAGUUUUUACAGGUUCCGGGAUGCGGCCUCGGGUUAAUCUUUUCGUUGACUUUGAGUAUUUGAUUAAAGAUUCGACCGUUAUUGUUUGGGUUACUUUCUAUCGCAUUAUUUGAUGAUUUUGAGUUGCUUUUGGCUAGUUUCGAGCCGUUCGGAGGUCGAUUUAUGCAGGAUGAUGCUUCUAGUGUAUCGAUUUGGCUUGUUCGAGGUAAGUAUCUUGUCAAACUUUGUUGGGGAAAUUUUUCCUACUAUUUGAUAUUGUUUGCUACAUGCGGGGGUGAUGCAUAUACGAGGUGACGAGCAUAUAUGCAUGUGCCAGGGUUAAUCAUGCCUGAGGGUAUAUUAUACGAUUAUUUGUGCCUUGUUGGAAUAUGCAACCUUCUUGCUUCAUGUUUUACUUGACUUCUAGAUUAAUAUGAAUAUGAAGUUAAAUACUAGAAACCAUGAUUUAGCUUAUUAUAACUUGAUUAAAAUUUGAUGGACUUUUUGUGAAACUAUUGAUGUGCUCAAUUCGGUCAUCACUAUAACUAAUAACAAAUAUAUCGCUACGAACGUUAUUCUUGAUAUAUUUGGAUUCCAUACUUUAUUUGAAAAUAUCUUUUGAGAUUUGUUGAGAUACUUGAACAAUAAGGUUCUUGAGGUUUAUUGAGUUGUUAUUCGCUUGAAAGUUGUGAUUGAUGUUCAUUUGGAGUAUUUGCUUAAUCACUCUUCUUGAUGUUAUUCAUGCUUCCUACCUUGCUUGUUAUUGAUAUACAUAUGCUUGGUGAGGAAGAGUGUAAAGCACGGAGGGUGAUGUCGUACCCUUCCAUAUACAUUGUCAUAUGAGGAAGAGUAUAAGGAAGAGAGUCAAGCACGAAGGGUGAUGCCGUACCAUUGUAUUUACAUUAUCAUGUGAGGAUGAGAGUAAAAGUACGAAGGGUGAUGUCGUGCCAUUAUUUUUAUAUUAGCAUGUGUUCAUGGCACGAAGGAUGUUUCCGUGCAAGGAAGGACGGGAGACAUGCAUUAUAUUGUGAUAUAUUUUUCUUGUGUAUACAUUUAUGCCUUUAUCUUGAGUUACUACUGUUGGACCUAUGUUUUCUAUGUGAUUUGUCAUUGUUGUUCUAUCUUUGUCCUCUACCUAAAUUGUUGUUAUAUUAUCCAUGCCUUCUAUAUGUUUAGCUUAUAAAGAUCAUGCUUUUCUUAUUAUUUUAUUAUAUCUACAUCUAUGCCAUUUCUCACUUGUUACCCUUUCGUAUAAGACUUCUACAAUGCUAGUUAUCCAUGCAUUAUAUUUUGUUUAGCUUAUAAAAAUCAUGCUUUACUUCUUGUUUGUUAUAUCUACAUUUAUGCCAUUUCUUAUUUCUUGCAAUUUCGUAUAAGCAUACCAUGUUAGCUAGUGAAAUUUAUGUUCUCCUAUCUUAGUUGCUAUCAUUACUUCUAUGCCUCUCACCUAGUCUGUUACCGUUGUUCAUAUACACAGCCUUGUUCGUUAUUGCUACCUAUGUACUUCCCACUUUGUCAUUACUGUUGUCGGUAUUUCUUUCACCUAGUUGGUACUGUUAUAUAUAUGCUUGGUGAGGAAAAGAUAAAUGCACGAGGGGUGUUUCCGUGCCAUUUGAUUUGAAAUACAUUCAUAUAUUUUGUGAGGAUGAGAUAAACGCACAAAGGGUAUUGCCGUAUCAUUUGAUUUGAUAUCUUGAGUAUAUUUCUCACACUAUGAAAGUUCUGGGUUUACUACCGUAGUUUGAUGGUCAUCGCUUUAAGGAAAAGAUUUGUUAUGGUAUUGAUAAUUAUUGACUGUAAUUUCUUCUAGUAAUCAUGUACCACUUCACAUAUUUGUUCUUGUAAUCUUCUCUGUUAUGUUCUAGUAUUGUUUCUAUUGCAAAUUCAAUUGCACAAGUUAUAUCAGUGAGUAUCUUUUAACCUAAAAGCUUCGUCACUACUUCACCGAGGUUAGUCAAGAUAUUUACCGAGUACAUGAGGUCGGUUGUACUCAUACUUCACUUCUGCACCUUGUGUGCAGAUCUUGGAGGAGAUGCGGUGGAUUAUGGAAGCUGAUAUUGGAGAUGUACCUGCCUUCCGGAUUUAGCUUCCACUUGUCCUUGGGAAGUUUUAGCGUUGAAUUCUGUUUAUGUACAUUUCAAAUAGAAGUUGUAUUUAGUUCAUAUCAGUUAUUGCAAAAAUCCAGUCUUAGUAGCUCAUGACUUGUACUACCAGUCCUUGAGAUAUUGUAUAGAAUUCGAUUAUAUCAUUUGUUGCUCACUUUUAUUUUAUUAGAAUUGUGUUGACUGUUAUUGGUUUUACCUAGCGAGUUGGGUUAGGUGCCAUCACGACUAGUUAAAUUUUGGGUCGUGACAAGUUGGUAUCAGAGCACUAGGUUCGUAGGUUCUACGAGUCAUGAGCAAGUGUCUAGUAGAAUCUUGCAGAUUGGUAUGAUGACGUCUAUACCUAUCUUCGAGAGGCUACAGGGCUUCUAGGAAACUUCCCAUCUUUCUUUCCACAUCGUGCGUCUUUGUUUCAGCUUGGCGCCUAUAUAUUUCUUCCUAUUCACUCAUAUGUCAUAUUUCACACUCGAUAUUAGCUAUGCGACGACGGUUUGUGAUGAUAUGGAUGGACUAUGAAGGGGUAUGUACGCUUGAUUAUUGUUGCGGUAUGUCAUCUAGUCUUGGAGGGGGGUGCAGUAGUAGUCCUUUCGGUUGUUGAAUUGUGGGAAUGCAACGGCUUCUCGAGACCUUAAGUCACCGAACGGGAUGUUAAUUCUUAAAAUAACAAGUCGAGUGAUUACACCAAUCGUAUUAAAAAUAUCAAACUCCUCCAUUUCGUCAAACUCUUAAAAUAAUGCUCUCUCGUAACAAUUUAUGUGACAAUGUUUAAAUUGAGAAAUAAUUUUAAAAAGAAAUACUUUGAAACUUGUGGUAUUUAAAACAAAGGUCGAAUAAGGUUAUUGAGACAUCUACUUGUUUAGUUUUGACAUUCCUUCCCUUUUACUCCACAACGUUUUAUCUAGGCACCUUUACUCGUUCAAGUGUUGGACAGUUGACCUAGCACAUAUGGCAGCUUAACGGCUAGAGCUAGAUAAAAUGAGUGUAUUUCACGUGUAUAAUGAGUUUGAAUGUGGACAAUAUUUAGCUUUAUCGAAGAAUUUAAGAAAAUAAUUUCAUUAAGGGUAAUUAAUUUGUUUUAUUCUGCAUUUAUAGUUGUUAUCCAUUUACACUCCAAAUUGGCAGAAUAGAUGACUUUUAUUCAGUUUAUACCUAAACUUUGUGUUGGUCUAAUUACCCUUUGAACUUGGCAAUAUGAUAGUCUCUACCCACUAACAUGCUGCCAACCCAUAGAAGUGUGGCACACGCACUGGCACGUAAUUUGUUUUUGUCUGCGUGGCAUUUUUUAAAAAGGUUUUAUCUUUUUAAGUCCACCAAUUAGCAGAAUCAUCUUCGGAUGGUAGGCUAUAAUCUUGUAUUUUAGUCACUUAUUGCACUCUAAUUCACUACACUUUAUUCAUGUUUGUUCUUUAAUUGAUAGUGUUUUAUACUUAUUGUGUGUUUUAUACCUUAUAGGAGUGAUUCCGAGCUAUGUAGCUAUUGUGGAGCUAAUUUGAACUAUUUGGAGUUUUGAAGUCUGAGUAAAAUCCCAAGGGAUUAAGCCAGGAUCGUGUUUGGGGGUCGAGGUUCAAGUCUGGACGUCAAAGAUCGAAGUUUGAACUGCACUCUGAGAAUUUUCCAUUGUCGCGGCGCGUGGGGUGCCACGCUUGUACAAAUUACUAUUGUCUGUCAGAACUUAGUUCUCUGGAUUUCCCCACUAAUGCCCUGCAUGGCGCGUUGCCCUAUGCGGCACGCCUAUGCAAUGUUUACAGAGUAAAUGUCCUACUUCGUCUAGGAGAAGGUGGUUUCGUCUUGGCCCGACCCUACUUGGUAUAAAUAUAUGGAAAAAUAUUAUUUUCUAGACUUUUGACACAUAUUCGACCUAAGGAGGCUAAGGAGGAGUUGGAAGAAUACGAGCACAAGGAUUUCAUCAUUCUUUCCUCACUCAAGACCCGAGUUUGGAUUGAAUUUAUGUUUUCCUAUACUUUAACUUUAUUUGUGAUAAAUUGCUCCAUGUCUAUGGAGUAGUUCUCUUUAGGGUUUGAUGGAUUUGGUGUACUGAUGAUUGUUUGUGGAUUAUAACUCUAGUUUUAUGCAUUGAAGCUUUUUUAGAUGAUUUAAUGGUUGCAUAUAUAUUCACUUGUUCAUGCAAUCGAGAGAGGCAUAACUUGUGAUAUCUUUGCAUUAUAUUGUUGGUUGAGUUCAUUAAUUCUUCUUAGUAAUCAAAAGAGGCUAGUUGAAUCAUUGAUUAAACCUAGUUAGGAGGAUAAUCGAGAGAGGUGCUCCUAAAGACCAAUCCACUACGCAUUCCUGCAUAUCUUCACGUGCUUAAAUUGGUUCAUCUUGAGAGGUUAAGACUUAAUUGAGAUAGGAGUUUUGCCUAACGUUUGAACUAAUAAUUGAGUGAAUUCGAGAGACUCACUUGAACAUUAGAAGUGAAUUAUCUAGAGUUAGAUCCCAAACAAUUAUCUUGCACAUAUCCCAUCAAAACCCUAUCUUCUCCCAUUGAUAACCUUCUUUUCUUGAUCUUUGGUGCGAUUGUCAUUAGUCAAUAGCUUUAGAUUCCUAGUUAAUUAUAGUUAGAAAUCAUAUAAAUCUCAAUUGUUGAUCAUCUUGGAUAGCAACCAAGCUAAAAACUACGAGAAUACUGAUUAAAUCCAAUCCAUGUGGAUACGAUAUUAUGCUAUACUAUAUUUGAUUAGCGAGCAUAAUUUAAGUGUGUGUUUCGAGCUCGUCAUCUUCUUCGAGUCGUUGCCGUGGAUUGGCAAUCAAUAGUGUUUGAAGUAGUUUGUAGUGCUAAUUCAGGAAUAUUUUUUUCUUUUUAUUUAAUUUUUUCCCCUUUUUAUGGUUGGUGUUCUUUGAUUGUGCGCAGGUUACAGGUUAAGGUUGGUGCAUGACUAAAACUCCUGCGAAAGAAGUGCUACCAUACGAGCCCGAGACAGAAAAACAAUUGCGACAGCUGAGGAAGGAAAGAGAUCUUACCAAAAUAUCAGAAAAGGUUGGGCAAUCCUUAACCAAAGAAACUAUGGCUGGAAACGAUGAUGAUAAUGUAGAUUUGGUUGCGAGGGAGGCAGCACAACAACGAGAAAAAGCUGCACGGGAUGCUGAGGAAACAGCUAUUAGAGAUGCACAGAUCAUCUAUGAAGAAGAAAGGGGUCGGAGAAUUGCUCAGAAUCAACUCUUGGCUGCAGACCAGUUCGGAAAUAUAGCUCCCAUGCUUGGGAGACCACUAGGUGAUUAUGCUAGACCGGUCUACAAUCAAGGCUUAUCAAGUGUUAGACCACCUCUAAUUGCAGCUAACAAUUUCGAGUUGAAGCAAGGGUUGCUUCAAACCAUUCAGAAUUGUUGUGUCUUCAUAGGGAAGCCAAACGAAGAUACAAAUACACAUCUAAUGGACUUCAAGGAGAUUAUAAAUAUUUUUCAAUACAAUGUUGUAUCACGAGAUGCAGUGUACUCAAGGGCACUCCCCUUCACACUCAAAGAUGAUGUAAAACAGUGGCUUCAAAGUUUACCCACGAGAUCGAUUAGAACAUCGGAGGAUAUGACUAGAAAAUUUCUUGAUAAAUAUUUCUCAUCAGCUAAGAUGGGUAAGUUUAGAAGAGAAAUCCAUAACUUCUGCCAGAAAGAGACUGAAACUGUUUUUGAAGAAUGGGAGAGGUUUAAGGAGAUUGUUCGGAAGUGUCAACAUAGCGGAAUUGAACUCUGGAUGCAACUCCAAGACUUUUGGGAUGGAUUGACAUNNNNNNNNNNNNNNNNNNNNNNNNNNNNNNNNNNNNNNNNNNNNNNNNNNNNNNNNNNNNNNNNNNNNNNNNNNNNNNNNNNNNNNNNNNNNNNNNNNNNNNNNNNNNNNNNNNNNNNNNNNNNNNNNNNNNNNNNNNNNNNNNNNNNNNNNNNNNNNNNNNNNNNNNNNNNNNNNNNNNNNNNNNNNNNNNNNNNNNNNNNNNNNNNNNNNNNNNNNNNNNNNNNNNNNNNNNNNNNNNNNNNNNNNNNNNNNNNNNNNNNNNNNNNNNNNNNNNNNNNNNNNNNNNNNNNNNNNNNNNNNNNNNNNNNNNNNNNNNNNNNNNNNNNNNNNNNNNNNNNNNNNNNNNNNNNNNNNNNNNNNNNNNNNNNNNNNNNNNNNNNNNNNNNNNNNNNNNNNNNNNNNNNNNNNNNNNNNNNNNNNNNNNNNNNNNNNNNNNNNNNNNNNNNNNNNNNNNNNNNNNNNNNNNNNNNNNNNNNNNNNNNNNNNNNNNNNNNNNNNNNNNNNNNNNNNNNNNNNNNNNNNNNNNNNNNNNNNNNNNNNNNNNNNNNNNNNNNNNNNNNNNNNNNNNNNNNNNNNNNNNNNNNNNNNNNNNNNNNNNNNNNNNNNNNNNNNNNNNNNNNNNNNNNNNNNNNNNNNNNNNNNNNNNNNNNNNNNNNNNNNNNNNNNNNNNNNNNNNNNNNNNNNNNNNNNNNNNNNNNNNNNNNNNNNNNNNNNNNNNNNNNNNNNNNNNNNNNNNNNNNNNNNNNNNNNNNNNNNNNNNNNNNNNNNNNNNNNNNNNNNNNNNNNNNNNNNNNNNNNNNNNNNNNNNNNNNNNNNNNNNNNNNNNNNNNNNNNNNNNNNNNNNNNNNNNNNNNNNNNNNNNNNNNNNNNNNNNNNNNNNNNNNNNNNNNNNNNNNNNNNNNNNNNNNNNNNNNNNNNNNNNNNNNNNNNNNNNNNNNNNNNNNNNNNNNNNNNNNNNNNNNNNNNNNNNNNNNNNNNNNNNNNNNNNNNNNNNNNNNNNNNNNNNNNNNNNNNNNNNNNNNNNNNNNNNNNNNNNNNNNNNNNNNNNNNNNNNNNNNNNNNNNNNNNNNNNNNNNNNNNNNNNNNNNNNNNNNNNNNNNNNNNNNNNNNNNNNNNNNNNNNNNNNNNNNNNNNNNNNNNNNNNNNNNNNNNNNNNNNNNNNNNNNNNNNNNNNNNNNNNNNNNNNNNNNNNNNNNNNNNNNNNNNNNNNNNNNNNNNNNNNNNNNNNNNNNNNNNNNNNNNNNNNNNNNNNNNNNNNNNNNNNNNNNNNNNNNNNNNNNNNNNNNNNNNNNNNNNNNNNNNNNNNNNNNNNNNNAUCCGUAUCAAAAGUAAAUAUAAUACGGUUAGGAGUCCUAGCAACAUGUAUAAACACACAACAAUAGUAGGAGCAGUAAGGUGUAGUGAUAUAGUGUCCAACACCCUCCCCCGCCAACACAAAUAAUUUAGUUGUUAGGGAUAAAAAAAGAUUAUGUUAGUAAUAGUAGGUAAAUCUUCAAGAACCUAGCAAUCCAAAAAGGAACCUAAUACAAGUAUCAUUAAAAAUAUAGCAAGAAAUUUUAGUUAUUUAUUUAUUUUAAUACGGAUAUCAUUUAUUGACAAGUCAAUUUUUUAUUACUUAACUUCUGGAUUUUAGUUGAGUCUUAUUAGGUUGUUGUCACGACCCAAAAGACCACCUCAAGGUCGUUAUGGCGCCUAGCCAAACUUGCUAAGCAAGCCAACUCACGUUCAAUAAUUUAAGUCUAUUUUCUGUAAUUUAUAGUGCUAUAUCAUAAGUUAAUACAAUAAUGAUCCAAAUUAGUAAUAAUAUCUAAUAAAAACCCAAACACAGCCUAAACACAUCUAAUACAGUACGCCCCCAAAACUAGAUGGCACAAGUACACGAGCAACUACAGAAAUGAGAUCAAAUCUGUAUACAUGUCAAGUUUUCAAAAAUACAAAAUAGAUAGAAAUAGUAAAUGAGCAGGGAUUCAGGAACUGCAAAACGAAACCAUGGAGUGCAGCUCACCCUAAGUCUCCGUAUAGCCUCCUAGCCAAAUCAGGAAGCUCUACUAAGACCCACCUGAGGAUCUGCAUAAUAAGAUGUGCAGAAGUGUAGAAUGAGUAUACCGCAAUCGGUACCUAGUAAGUAUCAAGCCUAACCUCGAAAAAGUAAUGGCGAGGCUAGUAUGCUUCCGGAAACUUACCACAAGUAUAAUAACAAAAUUAUGAAUAGAAACAAUAUGUAAUAUCAUGAAUAACAAGAGUCAAUGAUAUCAACAGUUGAAUAGUAUUAAGCAUGCUUUCCUAGCACAGAAAUAACCAUAACGCUACUUAGAUACAGAAUUGCAAGAUAACAUGCUCAAAUAACGGAGUCGAGACUCCCAAUUAGCAUAUAAGGAUGUCGAGUAACAAUUAAUAGUUGAAUAAAUACUUCAAAACGAGUCAACAAUAAGAAUGCAUGCUCAACCGAUACAAGAUCCAUGUACCCGAUACACAAUUCAUGUAUCAACAUAACCCGAUACAAAAUUCAUGUAUCGAUCAAGUACAAAAUCCAUAUACCUACUAUGUUCACAUGCCCCAAAGUAACAUGGGUUAUCACCUGACUCCGGAGGGAUGGAUCCAAUCCAAGAGCAAAGAGGGGCAUAAUAGUAUCCCUCAUAAAUCAAUUUCCGAUCAUCAUAUCCAACGUGCGGUGAUUGUAUCUCAUCCGCACGCUUACUCUUCGUGCCAAAAUCCUCAGUCCAAACCACAUAUGUAUUAUUCAAAAUAUAUGUAUAGGCUCAAGAAUUAUCGAUAAGAGGUGCACAAAGACUUAAUAAAUAUCAUACGGAUAUGUGCUCAAGAAAUCUCUAUGUGACUAUGGAUAAUCAUGAAAUUCAACAUAUUAAUGAUAAGUUCUCAUACCUUCACAAUUAAUCAUAAGCCUAGGCAUGAUUUCUAACAUGAGUAAGAGACCAAACGUAGUCACAUAAGACAAAUAAUUCAUGAAUCAAAUGAGCACAUAUUCUAGUUCUACCCUGGUCAUGAUAUAAAUUCGAUAAAUGCAUUUGAGCUCUCCAUCACGUAUAUACACUACCCCCAAUACCUUAAACACAUAGCAAACUAGGGGUUUUCCUCUUAACAAGGUUAGCCAAGAGAUUUUUCCUCCACCCGGUAGCGUAAGACUCAUAAAAAAUGCCCAAAUCCUCAAAAUCCAACACAAAACGGCUCAAAUCUAGUCAAAUACAACCCAAUAACGUCAAACAAAGGCAAAGAAAUUAAAUCUAAAUUAUAAAAGUGGAGUCCUUAAUCAAAUACACAAAGUCAACACAAAAAACCAACCCGGUCCCGCCUCUAGGAACUCGAUAAAACUCACAAAUCUCGAAUACCAUUCCGAUACAAGUUCAAGCAUACAAAUUUCAUUCAAAACUGACUCCAAAUCAGGGUUCAAAUCUCCAUUAUUUUUUUUUCAAAACUUAUCACAGAAAUCCCAAUUUUCUCCUUUAGAUUUUUAUCAACCAAAAACCAAAAUCAAGGAUAAAAUUAUGAAUAAUAAAUAAAUCCGGGUUAAAAAUACUUAACCAAUCUAAGUGGGUAAAAAUUGCCUCAAAAAGUGCCUGAAUCCGAGCUCCCAAUAUCAAAAUAUGAUAAAAUAGGCCAAACCCUCGAUUAAAAUAACACUACCAAGCAAUUCGCUUUUGCGGACACGAAAGUCACUUUUGCGACUCCGCUUCUGCGGAAAUAUGUUCGCAUCUGCGAGCUCAAUAACAUCACCACCUCUUCGCUUCUACAAAGCAAGUCCUCACUUCUUUGAGGCCGCACCUACAAAACAACCUCGCCGGUAUACGACCACUUUUGCACCAAAACUUCGCACCUGUAAAAUCCCUGUCCCAUGCCCAAAUUCCGCUUCUGCACUCACCUGUCUGCAUCUGCGGACUUGCACAUACACUCCAAACCUCGCAUGUGCGAAAACACAAGACCAGAACAGCCCUCAAACUUCAACAUGUUCUAAAACUCAUCCGAAACACAUUCGAGCCCCUCGAGACCCCGUCCAAUCACACUGACAAGUCCUAAUACCUUCCCCAAACCUAUCCAAUUCAUUAACUUUUAAACUUCAUACUAAGCAUCUGAUUCAAGCCUAACCAAUCUUAAAAAACUUUGCACACAAGUCUCAAAUGACAAAACAAACUCAUUCCAACUUCCGGAAUAACAAUACGAAUUCGAUAACCUCAAAGUCAACCCUCGGUCAAACCUAUGAACUCUCCAAUCCUACAAAUUGUCAACUUUUGGCAAAUAGUACCAAAACAUUCUAUGAACCUUCAAAUCAAAUUCCGAACAUACGCCUAAGUCCAAAAUCACCAUAUAAAAAUAUUAGAACCAUCAAAUCAUCAAUCUGAGGUAGUUUCCACAAAAGUCAAACAUCGGUCAAUUCUUACAACUUAAGCUUCCAAAAAGGAUACCAAGUGUUCCAAAUCACUUCCGAACCUUCCCGAAACGAAAUCAACCAUCCCCGCAAGUCACAAAAUAACAGAUACUCAUACGAGAAGUAUCAAAUAGGGGAACAAUACUCGAAUACACAAAGCGAUCGACCGAGUCGUUAUAAUUUUCACUUCAAAAAAAAGAGUUGUAUGUACAACAAGAUUAUAAUGGAGGAGGAGUUUGAUCUUUUAGAGACAAAGAUAUGUUAAUUUACAUACUAUGUUCUUUUGCAUGUAAGCCGUUGGCAAUGUUAGAGAUAAGGUUCAUGCAAAAGAAACCUGAAAGCAGCGAAUUAGACAAAAAGAAACAGUUUACUAGCAUCGAUAACAUGGAGACUGUAUUAUAGUUCAGAUUCAUCGAUGCUGCACAAUUUUUGUGGCUUCUCUGCCAUUGGAGGUAUUCGAUCUCUUCUUUUUUUCAGCAUAAAUUAUGUAUCCAACAAAAACAUCCUCCAUCUUUCUGGCUAAACUAAUUGUUGAUGAAAAUACGAGUACACUUGAAAAAAAAAAUAAUAACAAGAAAUUCUUCGGGUUAAAACACGAAUAUCUCGCUCUCUUUAGGAGUUUAGGGUUUGCGUCCAUGUAGUUGUGAUGAUUGCAUUUGUUAUGACAUAUAAAAUUUGUUCUGUACGUCUAGAUCGAGGCAGAAUAAGUAGUACAUCGGCCAUUAACCACUUGAUUGGUUGCGGUGCAUGCCCUCGUCAAAAGCUUUUUCCACAAGAAGAAGAUUGCAAGAGCUAGAACUUGAAGCUUUAUUUUGUGACUUUGAAGUUUCUCUAAAUGCAUGUUAAGCUUGUGGUUGACAAAAACAAAUCAAUUAAAUGAUAUCCUAUGAAUAAAGAUCCUACAACUUGAAGUUUCUCUGCCAUAUAUAUGAGUUUAUAUAGGAGGAAUACGGCCCUUAAAGUUUUUUUUUUCUAAUCUUGUGAAGUUGUUAUAAACUUUUGGAACUAUUAGUAACACGGAAUUUGCCUGCAAUAUUUUGGCUUUUAGCUAGUUUGUGGACUGGCAAAUUGUAACAACCCGACCGUCGUUUUGAGCAUUUGCAUUCCGUUCGGUGAUUUAAGGUCCUGAGUACUUUCAUAUAGUGUAUUAUGACAUGCGUGUAUCGUCGGUUUUGAUUUUCGAGUGGUUCGGGAUUGAUUUGGAAGAAUGAUUCUCAACUAGGAAGCUUUAAGUUAGAAGAGUUGACCAAGUUUAACUUUUCUGUAUUUGACCUCGGAUUGGAGUUUUUAUGGUUCUAUUAGGUUCGGAUGGUGAUUUUGGACUUGGGCGUAUACUCGUAUUUGCAUAUGGAUGUUUCUAAAAGGUUUUGGCACUAAUUGGCGAGAGUUGGCAAUUUGAAGGUUUGAAAAAUUCAUAGGUUCUUGUGUGCAAAAUUUGAGUUGAUUCCGAGUUGUUUAGACGUGUUUGGCGCAAGCUUUGAAUUUUGGAAUUUGAAAUAGUUCAUUAAGCUUGAUUUGACGUGCGAUUCGUGAUUUUGAAGAUGAUAUAUGUGAUUUGAGGCCUCGAGCAGGUCCACUUUAUAUUUUGGGACUUGUUGGCAUGUUCGGACAGGGUCCCGAGGGGCUCGAGGGGGUUCAGAUUUGAUUUUGGACCAUUUCGGAGUGUUCUGUGAGCUGCUAGUGUUUUAUUCAACGCAUUCGCGGAGGUUUGAGAUAUUUGACCAUCGUGUUCACGGUAGUAGGUUCGUGAUUGUUUUUCAGUGUGGGAGCUGGGUUUGCCAUCGGGUUCGCGUGGGAGCUGGCGCAUUCGCGGGGUUCUAGUGCUUGUGGUCAUCGCGUUUGCGAUGUAAUUGACGCAAACUCAAAGUUCAUUCCAGCAGCGUUCAUCUUUGUUCUUCACGAUCACAAAGUGGGUCCCGCGAUCGCGAAAGGUUUACCUGGGCAGUGCAUAUAAGUACUCUAUUUUAGAUUUUGAGUUAUUAUAUCCCAUUUUGAGUUAUAGAGCUCGGAUUUUGGCGAUCCUGGAGGGGAUUUUCACGAUUAGGAUUGGGAUAAGUAUUUUUUUACUCGGAUUUGAUUAUAUUACAUAAUUCCAUCUUCGAUUUUGGUAUUUAAUUGAUGAAUCCAAAAGAGAAAUUGGGAGUUUUUGUCUAAACAUUCCUAAAGUGAAUAAUUGAGUUUUGAACAAUGAUUCUGAGUCGGAAUUGGAUGAAAUUAGUAUGGUUGACUAGUAUUCGAAUGGGUUGUCGGAAUUUGUGAGUUUUGUCAGGUUUUGAGAUGCGGGCCCGAGUUGAACUUUUUAUUGACUUUGAGUAUUUGAUUAAAGAUUCGACCUUUAUCGUUUGCGUUUGUUUCCUAUGGCAUUAUUUGAUGAUUUGAGUUGCUUUUGGCUAGUUUGGAGCCGUUUGGAGGUCGAUUCGUGCGAGAUUGCGUUUCUAGAGUAUUGUUUUGUCUUGCUCGGUAUUGUUUUGACUUGUUCGAAGUAAAUAACAUAUCUAGACUUGGAUCUGAGGGUAAUUAACCCUGAUAACUGUGAUAUUGAGAUAUGUUGGGGGUGACACACGUGCUAGGUGAUGGACGUUUGUGUGUGCACCGGAGUAUUCAUAAUCCGGGUAGUUUUUAGGCUAUUAUAUGACUUGUUUUGCCAUCAUGCUACUUUGAUAACAUUUUUUCUCUAUUUGUAUGACUACGUGAGUUAUUAUUCAAGCUAAAAAUUAUAUUUAGGCUAUCUGCUUGAUUAUUUGAUACAUGAUAGGGCUAUUUUACCAUGUUGAGCUAUUUGCCUUAGCCGUAGUCAUACUGUUCAGCCAUGAUCGUUAUAUCCGCAUGGUAUAUCUCUAUAUCUAUGUACUUUUGAUAUGCUGCCUCACUUGUUAUCGGUGUCCUUCUACGUGGCAUGAGUUUGAGCUGAAUUUGUGGCAAAUUGUGAUACUCCGUAUUGUAUAAUUGGAUUAUGUGAGAUGUGAGUCAUUAAGACUUGAGCGGAUUGAUGACUGAUGUGGGUCAUAGAGCCAUAUUUUGAGUGUUAUUUGGAUCGGGUUGCACGCCGCAAUAGAUUAUUAUUUGGAUCGGGUGACACUCCGCAACAGAUUGCUAUUUGGAUAAGGUUACAUAACGCAACAGGUCAUAUUGACUAUUGAUUAGCAGUUGGGUCAGGAUCUGCCCCUCUGGAGUCUGAUAUUACACUGAGCGUAGGCACAGAGAUAUAUGUGCUUCGGUGAGGGGCAUUUUUGCCAGGUACCAGUAAAGUGCUGAGUGAUUGUGUGCGUGAUAGUGAGGGGCAUGUAUGCCAGGCAUCUUGAGUGUGCUGAGAGUGAGUGUACUUGAUGAUUUUACUGUGGUGUUAUUGACUUGACAUUUAUAUUUGACAUGUAGGCAUAGAGAUGUGUUUUUCUCAUGUUAAAUGGUAAACAUAUGGUAUUGACUUGACAUGUAUACAUGAUAUGUAGGCAUAGAGAUGUAUUUUCCUCAGGCUAGCUAGUAAAUGAAAUGCCUUAUUUGUUGUUGAAAGUUUGGAAAAAAAUCAAUGAUCUUUGAUAAACUCGUAUCAUAGUGCUUCCAUGGAAGAUUUAGUCUUUAACUCUUAUACUUGUAAAGUAUGCCUAGUUUUCCGUACUUGUGAACGAGUUCAAUAUGAUACCUUUUGAAUUAUUUACUGUUACUGCAUUAUCAUAUCAUGUGUUAUUAUUGAUUAUUGGUGUUGGACACUGAUCCUUUUCCGAGCUCGUCACUGCUUUCAACUUGAGGUUAGGUUUAUUGUUUGUUGAGUAUAUGAGAUCAGUUGUACUCAUACUACACUUCUGCACCUUGCGUGCAGAUCUUGGAGCUAAUGUUGCUGAGUAUAGCGGGAGCUGGCAUUGAAGAUGUACCUGCUUUCCAGAUAUAGCUACCACUUAUCCUUGGUAAUUUUGGAUUUGUAUUUUGUUUAUUUAUAUUCCAAAUAGAUGUCAUAUUUAUUUUCAUACCAUUUUUGUAACUCUAAGUCUUAGUGGCUCGUGACUUGUACUACUAAAUCCUUGGGUCAUUAUAUACAAAAUUCAGUUAUUUUACCUAUUGAUUUCUUAUUAUUCUUAUUUGAGUUGUGUUGGCUCUUGUUUGGCUUACCUAGCGGGUUAAGUUAGGUGUCAUCAUGACCAGGUGAAUUUUAGGUCGUGAUAAGUUGUUAUCCGUGCUCUAGGUUCAUAGGUUCUACGAGUCAUGAGCAAGUGUCUAGCAGAUCGGUAUGAUGACAUCCAUACUUAUCUUCGAGAUGCUACGGGGCAUAUAGGAACAUUUUUCAUCUUUCUUUCCUUAUCGUGUGGUUUUGAUUCAGCUUGAAGCGUAUCCCUUUGAAUUCCUUCCAUCCACCCAUAUGUUAUGUUGGUCACUCGGUAUCAACUGUGCAUCCACGACUUGUGAUGUCAUGGAUGUGGUGCGAGAUGUGCUCUUUGUGAUUGUGGAGGUAGGCAGUCUGAAGGACUUGAGGCCGAGUUCAUAUUGUAGCUUGGGCUCGGUAGUUUCAGUUGCGUGGAUAUGUACAUUUGGACUUAUAUGUCCGGUAGUGUCCCUAUGAGUGGGAUUGAUGGCCCAGUGAGUGGUUAGAUAGCUAUAUGAUUAGUAUUAUGUGACUGUGAAAUAUGCUUAGAUGGUUUGGAUGUGACGAGAAGAAUUUUGCUUGGGGUGCAAAAGGACUAUGGAUCCUUGAUUUCUGUCUUAAUGUAUUGUACAGUCUUGAGUUAUAGGUGUGUUGAGGGAUCUUUUAUGUUGUUAAUUUGUGUAAUAAAGUAGAUUCUUAUGUCUUGUUGACGAGUUCUGGCACGGAGGAUUUAGCGAUUACAUAGUGGUUGUGAGCAUGUUAGGGCAUAGAGAAAUACCAGUUUGAGGCUAAGCAGGUGGAUUAUCUCCUACGGAAUAUUUUUGAGCUUAAAUGAUCCCUAUGAUGUUUCUGUGAAGUGUUUCCUUUCAACCAACAAAAUGUUUAUGUGCUGCAAUUUGAGUUCGGAUCGCUUGAGAAAGUUUGAAUGAUUGUCGCGAGGAUGGAUAUGCGGUCAGCAGAUGAUUUGAGAUAUUUUAUGAUUUGAGCUACAUGAGCGUAUGAAGGAUGUAGUUGAAUUAUAAUGCGAAAUUAUGGCAGUUAUGGACUAAGAAUAUCAUGGGUUAUCAGAUGUUAUGUUCUAUGGCUUCGAGCCAAGUGAGGGAGUCUGCUAUCGAUGAUCAGGUUGAAUGGUCAUGUGUUAUGUUAGUUUUGUCUAAGGCAUUUUUGUGGAUCAGAUAUGACUUGAAGAGGGCUGGCUUCGAGGUUAGUACUGGGAGAGAUGCAUGAUAUAUUAUACUUUAUGGGUAUAUGAAAAUCGUGGAAUGAUUCGGGUUUAUUAUUUAUGGCGGAUGUAGUGUGCAAGGAGAAGGAAUUCACUAGCAAUAGCAACAAGCAGUAACCACAAUAGGAUACUAGAAAACUGAAGUGGAAGAUAGUAAGAAGUAGCCGUAAUACUAGCAAUCUAGGAACAACAACAAGAUACUACCAGACUAGCCCUAAACAGCCCAGUUAGGAUCAGAAAAAAGCCCGACUAUCUGGCAUCCUUCUACCCUAAUUCCGACCUCCACACCCUCCUAUCAAGGGCCAUAUCCUUAGUGAGCUGAAAUAACGCCAUGUCCUGCCUGAUCACCUCUCUCUAAUACUUCUUAGGUCGCCCUCUACCUCUUCUCGAAUCCGCCAAAGUCAAUCGUUCACACCUCCUAGUUGGGGCAUUUAGGCUUCUCCUUUUCACAUGCCUGAACCAUCUAAGCUUCGCUUCUCGCAUUUUGUCCUUCAUGGAGGUCAUGCCCACCUUCGCUCGAAUAUCCUCAUUCCUAACCUUAUCCAACCUAGUGUGCCCGCACAUCCAUUCACAAAAAGAGCCCCUGAAAUAAUAAAGAACUUUCAUAUCAUAUUCUCUAUUUUAUUGACAUGUCUCCAGAUUUUAUUUACUCUAUAUUAAUUGGGUCAUCUUCUCCCAUGGUCCUAGUGUCAGGGAUGGAUCUAGACGUUAUCUAUAGAUUUACGUGAAUUCAGUAAAAAAAAUUCAAAUAGUACAAUUAUUAUCCAUGGACAAGGACCACAAUCCCACAAAAAUAGAAUUUUGACAUUUGCAUUAAAAUUGUUAGUAAAUCAGAUCUUUUGUGGAGUAAAUCAGAUUAUACCAAGUAAAUCAGAUUAUAUGUUAGUAAAGUUUGUAACAACUUUUGACCAUAGAGCCCAAUUCCCCUCCUAUAUAUAGAGAUAUGCUUUACCACUCAUCCUCAUUCUCAACACAACUUAACCUACCUGGCACCUGCAGUGGAGAUGAAGAGGGCUACCAACAGCGAAGAGAACGUCAAUGAGGAUGACAAUAAUGAUGAUGAUGAAGACGAUGACAUCCAAUUCCUUAUGAAUCCUCUUCAUGGAUUCUUCAACAUUGAAUCAAUGAGUCACCAUAUUUGUAAGUUCUUCCCUCUUUGUUUAUGCUUUGGUUCUCAUCAUUGGUAUGUUGAUCGAUGUGCCCUUUUCCUUUAUAAAACUCACACAAACACAUGGAGUCUAAUGAAUUAUAUUUAUUGACUUGUUGUUUUCGUAGUGUGCAUGUUUUGUGGUUUUGCUGCAACAAUAAAAGACGGAAUGUCUGAUUCACCUGGGAAGGCUACAUCAAUUUCCUUGUCUUCCUUUCUUCCGAUGGUAGCCUUGAGCUUUCACGUCUCUUGUUGCAAGCUUCGACCCACUGAUCACGUUUUCCAAUAGCAACCUUCACUUCUUGAAUUGAUCGCGAGGAUAGAAUGCUUGGAAAGACAAGAACAACUUUAAUGGGGGAGAUAUCGGAAAAACAAAAUAAUAGAUAGCUUAUUAAUUAAAUAUUAUGAAUGAUUUAAACUUAGAUAAUCAGAAUGAAUUGAUUUGUAUAGGAUGUACAAGAGAAGGCUUUUUUCUGGAAAUUAGCUUCAGUAUGUAAGGUGUAAAGUGGUAGUUUAAUAUGAAUUUCCAUUUAUUGUCUUGAUUGUUUUAAGAGAUUUCUCACAUUUGCAUAUUCAGUUUCCAUUUGACACUUUACAAUCUAAAGAGAGAUUUAUUGUAGACAUUUUUUUUCCGCACCUCUUUUACUAUAGAAUUCCCACAUUAAUUUGCAGUUUUCGUUUCUCUGUUCUUAUUUAUUUUGAAGCCUUUUUAAUGUUUAGGGUUAUUGUUUAGUUAAGGAAUUUAAAGACAUGGAAGGAACAAGUGUACGCAUCAAAUGAUGAAAAGAUAACUUUGCUACUGAAAUUGAAGUAAAAUUACACAGAUCUAAACUUCCCUUUUAGUUUAUAAACUUAUAAUUUUACUCAAAAUUACUUUUUUCUUUUACAUUAUCAAUCCUUAUAUAUAUGGGAUAAGAUCAUGGAGGAAUUUCGAUGAGUUCGAGGGGAAAUCUGGGGCAUCCAGGGGCGGACCCACGUUGUAUCAAGUGGGUUCAAUUGAAUCCGCUUCGCCGAAUUAUUUUGUUAAUUAUAUGUGUAAAUUAUAUUCACAAAGUGAUAUGUAGAUAAAAUUAACUCACUUAGUCCAGCAAAGUAAUAGCAGUUCAAUGGUCAAGCAGGGUCAAUUUAUGGCACACGACAUGAGUUCGAAUUAGUACCAUCUACUAAUAUGUAUGUCAAAAUUGUUAGGUUAUUUUUCCUUUUGAGGUUUAUUAUUUGCCAUUUGUCAUAUAAAAGUUGUUUUUAGUUGUUAUAAUUAUUUAUUAUUUGUAAAUAAUACUUAGCUUUUAAAAGUUUUAUUUUAGUGAAAUCUGUGUAUUUAGUUUCUAAUAUCUUAAUUUUGCACUUUUAUGUAAAGUUGCGUUUUUACUCUUCUUCUUUUUUUGCAAUUAGUUCUUUUUAAAUUUAUUUACUGUUUUAUUAAACUGUGUGUUUAUUUCUUUAUUGUUCAAGUAAAUUGUCUGUUAAUUUUAAUUCUUACUUUAUUUAUAUUUAUAGUGUUUCAAAAUUAUUAGAUUGUUAUUGUAUUAACUUAUCUUUUGAGUAAAACAUAAGAAUUUAAAACUGAAGACUUUAAAAGAAAAUUUAUAGUCUUAUAACGGAUUAAAAGUUGACACACACACACACACACACACACAUAUAUAUAUAUAUAUAUAUAAAAUUCACUUUCUAUUACUCGGUAAUUUCUAUUAUUGACUACUAUCUCCCCUAAUGUUAUUAUAUUUAUUGAACCCCCUUGGAUAAAAUCCUGGGUCUGCCACUGGGGGCAUCCUUGCUCAGAAAGUUGCAUUGUGUAAUGGCAAUUAGUUCUCCUUAUGAUCCGUGGUAGAGUCAGGAAUAGGGAAGUGAAAAUAUAAAAAAGUAAACAUACGAAGAAAAUAAUGGGAAUCAAUAUUUAAUAUUUAUAUUUAUGUAUAUAAAAUAAAAUUUUGAUCUUAGCUAACAAUGUAAGGGGGACUCCUUUAGCAUAAAGUGGCUCUGCCCAUGAUUAAACAGGAAUAGCAUGGUCUGCCCGUUUUAUCGUGAGAUAUGCUUGCAAAAAUCUAGUUGUAUUUUCUCCCCAUUUUCAGUUUUCCGUCAUAUUCUUCAAUAUAAAGCCUGUGAACGAAUAGCCUAUUGCCAUACAUCGACAAUAAUAUACUCCCUCGGGCACUUUUUAUCUAUCUUCAGAAUCAUUAAAUGGCAUCCCUCAUGAGUAGUGGUGGCAAAAUGGUUAAAAGAAAAUAGUUAACCACCUAUAUUAUCCACUAAAAAAUGAGUUGAAUAAUGAACUUUUUAAAAACGGAUCAAAUAUGGAUAAGAACCAUAUUAUCCAUUUAGAAAAUGGAUAACUAAUAGGUAACCAAUGGAUAACCAAUGAGUUUAACUUUUACAUUUGUAAAGCCUCAAAUUGGGGGUUGCUCAAGUUUGGGAGAUUAGGAAUUAUCCCAAAAGUGAUCAUAUUCAAAAAGUCAUGGAUAAUAUGGUUACCCAUAUUAUCCGUCGGUUAACCCAUUUUUUAUCCGUAUUAAAUAUGGGCCGGGUCGGAUAAUUUAUCCAUUUUUUUCAUUACACGUUUUCGACCCGAACCAUAUCCGACCCGACCCGCCUAUUUGUCACUCCUAGUCAUGAGAGAUACCAAACUAAUACAUGUUUGGCCAAAUUUUUUCAAGGCCAAAAGCACUUUCUUUUUCUAAAAAAGUAUUUUUUUAAAAAAAUCUGAAGUGUUUGACAAUUUUAGAAGGAAAAAAAUGUUUUUGACUAGAAGCAAAAGCAGAUUUGAAGAAGCAUAAAAGGUAGCUUCUUCCUAGAAAUACUUUUUUGAAAGAGUUAAUACCCUAAACCCCCCUAAACUAUUACAUUUUUGUCAGUUUCCUACUUAAACUUUUCGACGCCCCUAAAAUCCUCUGAACUAUAUUACUCUUCAUAUUAAAAAACCCUCGUUGCAUUCUUAGUGGUAUGUCUAGUCACGCUCCUAAUCAUCUAAAAACGUGUCAUGUGACACUACACUUGGCUAGGGGUGUACAUAGUCCUGAUUGAUUCGAAUUUUUCAUUUACCAAACCAAACCAAUUAUCUCGGAUUUUUAAAUCUAUAUACCAAACCAAACCAACAAUAGUCGUGUUUUUCAAUCUCGAAUUUCUCGAAUUUUUUUGUGGUUCGCUGUGAAGCAUCUUACAAUAACAUCAGAGACAAUAGAAUAUAACAAAAAUAAGAAUCCACAUAUGAAAUAACAAGAUCAUCUAUACUAUUACAAUAGCUAUCUCAAUCUAAAUAUGAAAAUUCUAGGCUAAUUCAAUCUAAACAUGAUCUCCAGUUAACCUUGAGCUAUAGAUAUCCUUGUUACAAAUCACAAAAUAAACUAAACACAAGAUAUCUUCACUAAGAUCUUCCCAAAAGGUGUUCAAACUUAAUAACAUAAUAGCAGCAACUCAAAAGACCAAAGAAUUUAGUCUUUAGUUCUUGAAACUUCAUGGAUCUCACCAAAUUUCCAAAAUUCACCCUUAAAUCUUCUGACAAAUAAAUUAAAGUUUUAUAAAAGACUAACAUAUGUGAAUAUUGACAAGAUAUACAUAAAUACAGAGGAAUAGUGCAUAAAAUACCCUCUCAAAAUCAAGGCGAAAGUCCAUAGCAGAAUCAUAUGAACUAAUAAGCAGAGGAAUAUCGCAGAUCAUUCAUGAAUGCAUAAUCCUUUAUAUUCAAAUGGUGGGAGAAAGCUAGUACUGAAGAUAGAAUGAAGGGGUUUUAGCCUUUUAGGUGUAACUCUAUAUAUAUCAGCGGACUAAUGCAAAAUAUAUAGUUCUUCUCCACUAAUAUCCUUUGCAUCAAGAUUGAGCAGUGAACAUCGAAUAGUUGAAAAAGUGAUAUCAAACUGCUCGACGAACAAAAGAUAUAUUAAGUCUACAUCUACAGAAAAUUUAAAUUUCACAAAAAGAUUUUCCGAAGCAUACUGGUUUGAAAAUACACUUUCAUAUAUUAUAUCUGCCAAAGAUAAAAUCAGUAUUCUGAUAUAAAGCAUUAGAUUUGAACCAUAUGCCAAAGAUAAAAUCAGUAUCAAGAAUGAUUAAAUAAGUUCUCAUACCAAUUCUCAAACAGAUGGUGCAUCAUGAAUAGAGUCGACUAAUCAUUUUCAAGUAUUACCCCUUUCCAAUCAUCAAUGCGCACCUUCAAAUGCUUAAUGGCAGCAUCAUUAGCAAUUGCAUUAUCGAGGGUCACUGUAAACAAGUUCUCAAUACACCAACCUAAUAAGCAUUCUUCAAUUCCCUUAGCAAUAGGUUCACCUUUGUGAUCCGGUGUUUGAAAAAAGUUUAGAAUUUUCUUUUAUAUAUUACAUUGUUCAUCAAUCCAAUGUGCAGUGACAAUCAUAUAAGUUAAAUUUUAUAGUGAUGUCCAUGUAUCACUAGUAAUACAUACACGCUGGUUUUUGAUAAGAUUUUUGAGUUUUUCUUUUUCUUCUUGAUAAAUCUUUAAACAGAGUCUAGCAACAGUUACACGGGAAGGUAAUUCAAAAUUAGGCAAGGCUUUUGCCAUUAAUUUCUUGAAUCCUACUCCCUUAACAACUCUAAACGGUUGCUCAUCAAUGAUUACAAAUUCGGCAAUAGCUCUCCUAAUAUCCUCCACAUUAUACACCACCCUCUCAGUGGAACCCGAACCUCCUUCUAGCCACUCUUCUUUGAUAGGGUUUAAUGUUGAUUGCCUCUUAUCAACGAUUCUAAAGGGGGACUUGUGACAUGUCAUAUUUAAAUAUGUCCAUAACGUAGUACUCCCAUUCUUGCUCUCAGAAGCAAAGCCCUACAUUUACCUCCUUUUAGCAGUAAACUUGAAGAAAUGAUUCCAAAUCUCAGACGUCUCUCUGCCAGUAUUUCCAGAUUUAGAAGGUACUGGACGAGUUGUUUGUUUUUGCUUUUUAGGAGGAGUGCGUCGAUGAGGAGCGUCUUGACCUUGUUGUUGAGCUACUGCUGGCAUAGUCAGAGGGUAUUUACAAUCACCUCCACAUCUGGUCCAAAAGUUGUAGUUUCCAUCCGAAAAAAGGUAUCAUGUACAUGAAAAUAAAAUUGUAAUCUCAAAACAAUAUUUAUGAGCUUUCUGAUAUAAAACUAAGUAAAACAGCACAACUAAGUGAAAGAGAGCCACUUUCAAAGCAAAAUGUUAUAUUUCUAAAAAUUUCUUUCAUCCCCAGAACCAAAAAAAGUCGCAAAAAUCCCUAAAAAAUGAGUGAAAACUAGAGUGUGUAAUUGGUUCUGAAGAUAAUAAGUUCAAAAAAUUAAUACUAAAAAAUAUUUAGAAGAAAAGAUUAUGAUAUAGGGUAAAACUUAGACAUAGAACAAAACUUAGAGGAGAAAAUGAGCAAUAAAUGAAAUAAGUUUCAAGAACUUUUACCUGAAGAAAGAAGCUUCAACGACCUCAGAUUUGGAAUCUUCAAUUUGGGGAAGAUGAAGUUAGGGUUUUUGAUAUGGGUGGGAAGAAGUUAGGGGUCUUUGAUUUAGGGGGAAAGUAUUAUGCUUUUGGCGGAAAAGUCGAUGCCUUAUGAGUUAUGACCUCAGUCUUAGUGGUCUUUUUUCUUUUACAUUUGUUA
rnacentral:lncRNA from 1 species